UUAUGCUGAAAUCCCUCUGCCAUGCUUUUGGUGUAUGCUGGAGUACCCGGUAUCAGAAUAGGAUAAAAUUCCCCAAAAUAUAUUGUCCAUUAAAAACUGGAACAGAUCACAUAUUUGGUCACAAGUGCCUAAGCUGUGGGUGA
rnacentral:lncRNA from 1 species